UUGAACGCUGGCGGUAUGCUUAACACAUGCAAGUCGAACGGAAACGAUACUAGCUUGCUAGUAGGCGUCGAGUGGCGGACGGGUGAGUAACGCGUAGGAAUCUGCCUGAUAGUGGGGGAUAGCCCGAAGAAAUUCGGAUUAAUACCGCAUAAUCUAUUCGUAGUAAAGUGGGGGACUUUCGAGCCUCACGCUAUCAGAUGAGCCUGCGUAAGAUUAGCUAGUUGGUAGGGUAAAAGCCUACCAAGGCAACGAUCUUUAGCUGGUCUGAGAGGAUGAUCAGCCACAUCGGGACUGAGACACGGCCCGAACUCCUACGGGAGGCAGCAGUGGGGAAUAUUGGACAAUGGGGGCAACCCUGAUCCAGCAAUACCGCGUGUGUGAAGAAGGCCUGAGGGUUGUAAAGCACUUUCAAUUGUGAAGAAAAGUUAACGGUUAAUAACCGUUAGCCUUGACGUUAACUUUAGAAGAAGCACCGGCUAACUCCGUGCCAGCAGCCGCGGUAAUACGGAGGGUGCAAGCGUUAAUCGGAAUUACUGGGCGUAAAGCGUGCGUAGGCGGUUUAUUAAGUCAGAUGUGAAAGCCCCGGGCUUAACCUGGGAACUGCAUUUGAAACUGGUCAACUAGAGUAUGGUAGAGGAAAGUGGAAUUUCUGGUGUAGCGGUGAAAUGCGUAGAUAUCAGAAGGAACAUCAAUGGCGAAGGCAGCUUUCUGGACCAAUACUGACGCUGAGGUACGAAAGCGUGGGUAGCAAACAGGAUUAGAUACCCUGGUAGUCCACGCCGUAAACGAUGAUAACUAGCCGUUGGGGGGAUUUACCCUUUAGUGGCGAAGCUAACGCGUUAAGUUAUCCGCCUGGGGAGUACGGCCGCAAGGUUAAAACUCAAAGGAAUUGACGGGGACCCGCACAAGCGGUGGAGCAUGUGGUUUAAUUCGAUGCAACGCGAAGAACCUUACCUGGUCUUGACAUCCUGCGAACUUUCUAGAAAUAGAUUGGUGCCUUCGGGAACGCAGUGACAGGUGCUGCAUGGCUGUCGUCAGCUCGUGUCGUGAGAUGUUGGGUUAAGUCCCGUAACGAGCGCAACCCCUAUCCUUAUUUGCCAGCACGUCAUGGUGGGAACUAUAAGGAGACUGCCGGUGAUAAACCGGAGGAAGGCGGGGACGACGUCAAGUCAUCAUGGCCCUUACGACCAGGGCUACACACGUGCUACAAUGGGAAGGACAAAGAGCCGCGAAGCCGCGAGGUGUAGCUAAUCUCAGAAACCUUUUCGUAGUCCGGAUUGGAGUCUGCAACUCGACUCCAUGAAGUCGGAAUCGCUAGUAAUCGUAGAUCAGAAUGCUACGGUGAAUACGUUCCCGGGUCUUGUACUCACCGC
rnacentral:rRNA from 1 species